GAACAUGGAGACUUGAUCGGAGGGAUCCUUGGGGUUGGCGUCGUAUGGUGGGUGAGGCGACGCGCCCCCUGGCGGAUGCCUUUGUUAUUUGUGCAUGUGAUUGACAGGUGUUUGCUUUUAUUCUUGAUCUUUGGGCCCCCCCACGCCCACACCCACACAUUCUUAUUUUCCGCAGAGCGAGUAAUGACCCACUCCAUUGCGGGCCACUGCGACAUUUACUACCAGUGUGUUAGGGGCGAGUGUGAGGUCAAGAAGUGUCCCGCAGGGCUGCUGUACAACCGCUACCGUGAAAAGGACACCGAGCCCUGCGUGCAUACCACCGAGCUGGCAUAUAGCGACGACUGCCGGACGGAUGCUCUUCGGUUCGGUCCACCACCGUGUCCCGUAGAGGGCGUGACAACCUUCCCCAACGCUAACCGCUGUGAGACCUACCGCAAGUGUGUCGAGGGAGCAGUGAGGUCCAUGGAGUGUCCCGCGGGGCUGAUGUAUAACCCCGCCCGUGCUAACGACACCGAGCCCUGUGACCCGCCCUCCAGCAUUGGUUUCAGUACUCUCAUGAUGUGCGAUAGAGACCGUUUCAAAAAUCUCCUGCCCGAAUUACCGACGUGUUCAAGAGAGGUCAUCUAUCCGACAACCAUCCUCGCCCCGAACCGCUGUGACUCCUACUACGAGUGUGUCCGGGGCGAGCAGUCGUUCAAGAAGUGUUCCGCGGGGCUGCUGUACAACCCUGACCGUGCCAACGACACUCAGCCCUGUAGCCAUCUCAUGGACCUACCAUUAGACAGGUUCCUGAAUUGCUCCCCGCAUGUGACCGACUCCCAACGCAGGCUCUUCGCCCACGAGACUGCCCCUAUAGUAGUGGCUCCUGCAGAGGAAGAAAUCUACGACGCUUUAGACCAGCUGGAGCAGCGACACUGGUAGGCUACCCCGUCACCGCCAUCGCCACCGUCACGUUGUGUGGGGAUGUAAGGACUGACGCUGCGACGCCUCUUGUGCUUUCUCGUUUUCUGCAUUUUAGUAAAGAAAACUAAAAGA